GAAAUUUUUCCAUACCACUUGCCUGUUGAAGACCCAGAAUUAAUUAUUCUUUUAACUCCUGCUUGCAAAAUGACCGCCUUUUCUCCCAGACCCUGCCCUUUGUAAUACAGAACCAAGGCAGCCGACUCUUGAAGUGCUGACGUUGUUUCCCUGAGGUCUGCCUUUAAUGCCCCAGUGCAGUCUGUACAUCUCACACCUCUUGAGAUACCACAGGCAACACAUUUAGCAUUUGCCCUAAAAAAGAACACAGAAUGCCAUCCUUUCAAACCUUAAAGAUUAGUUUCCUCAUCAGACAUAACCAUACCACCAAGCCAGGGCCCCAUAUUUGUGUUAUUUCCUGAGGGUGGAAAAAGGAUGAUGUGGACUUGUGCCCUGCCUGGUAAAGGCUUCAGCCUGAAACUGACCCUUUCUGCUCACAUUAUUUGGCUAGAACAUGUCCAAUGGUCCACUUAACUUCAUAGAGAAGUGGCAUCGUCUUUCUGGUGCCUCCAGAAAGAAGAUAAUUAAUCACAGUGAACAACCCAAAUGACUACCUGAGAAAUUCCCUGAUUAAUUGGUAUUAGUGGUCAUUUCCCUAUGGCUGUAGUAAACAGCAGAGAUAUAUGGGAGACAGAUCAGUCUUCUCUCCAUCUCUGUCUUCAGCUCUGUCCUCUCUGAAAACAAAUUCAGAUGGUUGUGAUAUAGUAGAGUGCAUGGCUAAGUGUAAGUUAUUAAUAACAAUCCAGGCCUUGGAUUAGAUAGUGGUUUGUAUGUGUAAGGCAUUUGCCUUCCUCGGCACUGAACAAGCACGAUGGCUCCUGUAUCUUGGACAGCAAAGAGAGAUGCUGCUGAAGGCCCAGGAAUGAGAGGAAGUAAUGUCCUGAACACCAGCAACUGAUCCCUCAGAGCAGCCGCAGCAGCAGAGGUGGUGGAAAUGAGGUAUCAUAGGGUCAGUGGUCAGCCAGAGUCUGGGCAGUGGACAGUGCUGAAAGGAACUGGGCUGGCAUGGGUGUGGAAUGGGGAUGUAGAACAUUGUAAGCAGGUGUAGAACAUACCCUGGGGAUUAUGGGCUCCAAAUGUGGACAAGAAAUGUCCUAAUACUGGGAGGAAAUGCACGCCAGAGAAAUUUCAGUUUGCUAUGGAUGCUAGUUGAGCUGAGUGGAACUCCCAGGCUGAUGAACCCUAGCAAGUUACACUGCUCCACUGAAAAGAGUUAAUGGUAAUUGCACUGUGAUUAUAUACGAGAAUAUCUCUAUUAAUAAAAUACAGACUUACCUAUGGGAAUGAGCCUUUGCUCAGAAAGAAAGUGUUGUGUAAGUUUGUGUAUGAAUACACAGAGAGGGUAUAUAUGAUAACAUAAACCACAGGUGGAUCUAGGUAGAAGCUAUAUUUGUGUUUAUAAACUAUUUUUAUUUUUACAAUAUUCUGUAAAUUUUCAAAUAUUUCUAACCCCAAACAAAUAAAGAAUGAGAUGACAGUGUGACAUCACAUAAGUAGGGGUUGGAAAAAGGCCUUAAAGUCUCAGGAGAGACUGGAAGGAUGAGACCUGAUGGAGGUGUGUGAGGCCCGUGAGCAUCUGACUGAGGCAGGAGGAGGACAGGCUGCAGGGGAGAACCGUGAGGUCCCGUCCAUCCCGAGAGGCUGCUAUGGAAGGGAGUACCGUGUGAGUGUCGCCUGUGUGACCCAGAGUGCUGCCUCCUGCCCCUCCAG
ensembl:lncRNA